AAGAAAUCCUGGUCAUGAGGGAAAUGAAGAACCCCAACAUUGUCACCUACCUCGAAAGCUACCUUGCCAAUGAGGCUGUGUGGCUGGUGUUGGAGUACAUGGAUGGAGGCUCCUUAGCUGGUGUGCUCCGGAUGAAAACAAUGGCUGUAGGACACAUAGCAACUGUCUGUCGGGAGUGCCUGAGAGGCCUGGAUUUCCUUCAUGCCAACAACAUCAUCCACAGAGAC